UGUUAGUUAAUUUGCUGUUGGGGGUUUUAUGGGAGCUAAGUACAGAGGGAACUGAGUAGUGACUCCCUUAGCAAAAUUAGUUUGUGAAAUGUACUGUGGGUCUAUUUAUUUCUAACUAAGAAUAUGCAUAGCUUAAACUUUUUGUGUAAAAAUCAUAGAAAUGGGAAACUGAUUUAUACUUGGUAUACAUAAGGGUUUUAAGUAUAUCUAGCCUACACUUAUACUUAGAUUUAUACUUAGAGACUGUAUAUGUAGUAUAGUAUAUUUCUACUGAAGGAAAGGUUUAAGGAUACUUAUUUAACUAUAGCUAGAGGUUGGGAUAGAUAGAUGGAUGCUUUAUUUAUCCCAAAGGGGAAAUUCAAGAAUGAAUGUUGAAUGUUGAGAGGAGGUAUGAUAAGGUAUGAUACAGUUAAUUUCAUAAAAUGCAUUUAGUACAUUUUAAUAUUACCCUUUUGAUAAAGUUACAGUGCUAAAGGAUAUUAAAAUACAUGGAGACAAUUAACUGGAAGUAUGUUUUGGUGGUGAGGAAUGGCAUAAUAUAUUAGACCAUUCACUGUGGAAUGCAGCAUAUGGACAGUAAGAGCUUCAAAGUUAUAGAAUUAUAUAAGAUAAUUACUCUAGUAAUGUUUAGAGAAACUGGGUAAGCUGACUAAUGGUAAAGGGAAUGCCAUGGUCAACCAAGUAAGUAUGGAAAUUUGAUAGUCACCUAUAAGGUAAUAAGUAGUGUUACAGAAACCCCAGGCUAAAGUAAAAUGACUUAGUGUAAAGUGCAAUUCCCCAUUCUGAUAGUUAAAGAGACCAAAAGGGAUCAGUUGGUAAACAGUACAAUGAAAAAGUGUUGCAGAAAAGUGGUUGAGAGAAUGAGGAAAUAUACAGAUUUAUGGCCUAUACAAGAAUUAAUGGAUUUAGCACUGUUACAAAGAUCAGGGAUUACAUGAAAAUUGACAAUAGUAGAGCUAUAAGAAGAAUAGGUCAGUCAUAGUGGAAAUAGUAGGAGAAAGAGGUAUUUAAAAUGCUCAAAAACAUCUUGACAUCUUGAUAGAUUAAUACAAUAGGAGAUAAGAGGCAGAAGUAAGGAGAUGACUUGGGAGUGAGUGACCAUGACUGUAGGAAUAAUAAUAGAUGCAGAUGUUAUAGGAAGAUAUAAGGGAUAAAAUGUACAGUUAAUGGUAAAUUACAAAAGGGCAAGAUAAAGUAGAUGAUAGAUAGAGAGUAAUCUAGUAAAUACUACAAGCUGACUGCAGCAUGAUUUCCUCAUUCCCUCCAGCUAAACAGUAAAUGUAAUGCUGCCUCUUAUAUCUAAGGGGGGAAAGGCUCAUUACCAGCCGUGUGAGGACAUGCUGAUGUGCAGGGGUUAAUCCAAGUACUCCCUGUCCUGACUGAGUUCUGAGCAAGUUCAGCACAACAGUGCUGAGCGACAAACUGAAAAGAGAUAAGGACUCUGAGGCCUUUGUUAAGGCAACAGUGGCAAGCUGGAGAGCAAAGAGGGAACUUGGAAGUGCAAUGGAAGCGCUUGCAGCAUCAAAAAGACAAUACAGGCACCUAUGGUGACCUAAGGCUUCAGGUCUGGGGAAACCAGUAGCAGCACCAUCCUCAACACUAUGGCAGUAGGAGCAACCAUCACAGGUGUUCCCAAACCUGUCAGUCUACUGGCCUAUGGAUACCUAUUAUAGUGGGCACAGUCAAGCCCAUGGCAGCCACAAUCUCCACGUCAGAGGGGGUGGAGACUAAGACAAGAUGGGAAUAACUAAGGCAGAGUGAGAGGCAAUUACAGAGGAGACAUCAUGUGAGAAUGGACAUCUGAAUCAAGACAAUCAUCAGUUUGUUUUGACUGUCAAAGAAGUGGACAAAAGAAACAGGACAGGGAGAGGGAGGAGACACCCAGGCACUGAAGGAUGAGCCCAACGAGCAUGCCUUCCUCUUCCCUUGUGAAAUAGCAUAGUUUUAAGGAGGCCUAGAAAAUUCUACAGGAGAAGGGAUAUACCAAUACUAUCAAAGGGAGUUGAUGAGGAAACCAUGAUGAGGGACUAUCUUAUGGGUGAGCCCACCUGAUACCCAGCGAUGCCCUGACUAGGUACAGAGAAGGUAGUUAAGACAUCUCAGGGAUAGGUGGUGGUGUAAGUAGGUAAGACUAACUUGACUAUGUCCUAGGGACUGUUACAUAUUAAAAUAUUACCUCUAGAUCAUGGGAGUUCCCUAGUGGUCACUCACACUCAACAAGUCUAAGGAAUAGAAUGAUUUAGCUUUAAUGGGAAAAAUAAAGUUAGUAGAAAUAUUGAAAUGAUGUAAUAUCUGCUUUACAUGUAACUAAUGUGAAGCCAAAAGAUCUUAUGUACUAUACUAUGACAUUUGAUAAAGAAAGCAAUAGAUAAAAUAAAGAAAGCAGAGAAAUAGGAUUGAUAGAAUAAGAAAAUAGAACUAGGAUUUACUAAUAGUUUAGAUAGCCUAGAUAAAGUAGUAUAGGGUUAGAAUAAUUAGGAAUAGAGGUAAGCUUAGUUUUUGAAGAAUAAAACAUUAUAAAAGUCUAUGACAUGCAGAGAAAAUUGGAGUAAGGUAUGUUGAAGAAAUGAUGAGAUUACUGUAUGUCCUAAAACAUCUAAUUAAUAUAGCUUACAUAAUAACCAGUCUUAAAGUAGUAUCCCAAAUUGACAAUAAGUAAAAUAACAAUGCUUAUAGGGAAAUUUGUUUAAUCUCUAUGCAAAAAGAGAAUAGAUGGAAUUAGGAUUAUCAGAAGUCAUUGUCAGAAGAUUAAAAUGUUUUAUUAUUUCAGAAAUAGAAAAGCUGGUGGAAAGAUGUUGGUCUUCAUGGAAGGAAUGGAGGUCCACCAACUCUAUUCUGUUAAUCACAGUAACAAAGGGGGGCGAACCCUGGUAGAAUGUUCAAUUGUAUGAUUUGUUACAUUUGUUACCUUGGGUUACAGAUUUUUAUAAUUUUUCACUGUCAUUAUUUGAUUAAUGUUUUAGUUGAAUGUCCCUUUGGGGAAAAAAAAGUCUGCUGAAUACCAUAACUGUAACUUUAAUGGUUAGUGGCAUUUAUAUGAUACUAACCAGAUACUUUCCCAACAGAUACAGUACUUGAUUCAUACAGUGCUUUCCUUUGCGCAUAGUUGGGAUCUAUGCGCAAGGGGGGAGUAGGAAAGAGGAAUAUUUUUAUUGAAGGAUUUUCAUAGUUACAGGAAGUUAUUGAUGAUAGUCUAACAGAUGUCAUGUGUAUAGUCAUAAUAUCAGGAAAGUGAUAGUGUUGUCUAAACCAUUAGGUCCCAGAAGGAUCAUAAAAACACUUAGUUA